rnacentral:tRNA from 1 species
GCCUGGGUAGCUCAGUUGGUUAAGCAUCCAACUUUGGCUCAGGUCAUGAUCUCGUGGUUUGUGGGUUCAAGUCCCACAUCGGGCU